rnacentral:rRNA from 1 species
AUUGAACGCUGGCGGCAUGCCUUACACAUGCAAGUCGAACGGUAACGCGGGGCAACCUGGCGACGAGUGGCGAACGGGUGAGUAAUGCAUCGGAACGUGCCCGGUAGUGGGGGAUAACUGCUCGAAAGAGCAGCUAAUACCGCAUACGACCUGAGGGUGAAAGGGGGGGAUCGCAAGACCUCUCGCUAUCGGAGCGGCCGAUGUCGGAUUAGCGAGUGGGUGGGGUAAAAGCCCACCAAGGCAACGAUCCGUAGCUGGUCUGAGAGGACGACCAGCCACACGGGGACUGAGACACGGCCCAGACUCCUACGGGAGGCAGCAGUGGGGAAUAUUGCGCAAUGGGGGCAACCCUGACGCAGCCAUGCCGCGUGUGUGAAGAAGGCCUUCGGGUUGUAAAGCACUUUCAGAGGGGAGGAAAGGGCGCUGGCUAAUAUCCAGCGCAGUUGACGCUACCCUCAGAAGAAGCACCGGCUAAUUCCGUGCCAGCAGCCGCAGUAAAAC